UUUUCGUUACAAUUUCUUUUGAUUCUCUUAUUCUCAUAUCCCUUCUCUCUCUCUGCAAAGAAGAAGGCCAAGUCCAGCUUCUUUCUUCUUCUUUCUUCAUUCUUCAACAAAUCAUCAGCUUUCUAAAGAAAGAGAGAUUGAACAUUCAGAUUCACCUUCUUAACUUCAAGGAGAUUUUUUUCAGACCACCAACUUGAGAAUCUGUCCGAUCUGGCUGGUUUAGUUACCUGAUUCGCUGAAUCGGCUUUCUGUAAACUCGUGUCUCUCUUGGAUGAGUUUAGUGGGAAAAGAGAGAGGAUCUUUUGGAAUAAAAGAACUGCCAUGUUAAAAUGUAAUUUGUUAAGUACCAAAAUGGCUUAACAAGAAAGUAAUAGAAAGAGAUGAGAAGUAGAAGAAAGAGAUGAGGAUUAGAAGAAUUCAGAAGAUUAGAGGAAGAAGAAUGGAGAAGAUGAAAGAAAUAAUUGACAUUCUUUGUGAUCUUAAUCGAUAUUGUUUACAGAGGCAAAAGACACUGUUAAAUAGCAGACAAACUAAAGAAAAGAAGGCUUAAACAUUAAGCCCAUUACGAGACCCACGAGGCCCAGCUCGUGAUACUAUCAUAAUACUUUUCCAUGUAUUUAGCUGUUGAAGCUUAUUAAGGUGUAGAAAUAAGAAAGCUACUCUUACUUGUUUUCUCUCUAUUUUUGUUUCUUGCAGAUGGUGUAUGUGGUUGUUUUAACAAAGAAAAAGAUGGAGAUGUAAAUCCCAGGGCUUAGAGACUUCUCACCUCAACACAUCAUUGAUACCCAUAGAAAAGAAACGUCCUCAAAAACAGAGAGAAACAAGUAAGUGUUUUAGGUGCAAAAUACACACUCACUCACUCAUAUCUAAAAAAAAUCAAGAUUGAGACCUAAGAUACCUAAGAAAUCAAGUAUAUCUCGUUGCUAGCUCUGUUUCUAAUCAACAUGAGAUGGAGAGAAAUAACCUAAGAUGUGGUUUCUUAGCUAUUGGAACCGUUGCGAUCGUUUCUCGUGUUAGCCACUAUGAGGAAUUCAACUUUUCAGGUUGGUUAAUCAACUGUAACAAGUGGAGUAAAAGUAGUUGUGUGCAAUACCUGAAGUGAGAAGGUGGUGUGGACAAAUUUAUGUGGACUUAUUAUCAUGGAUAUGUUAUGGACAAAUUAAUAUUUGAAAUUGUAACUGACAUUUGUGUUAUGGACUCACCAUUCUCGUAACAUGAUUAUAAUGAAACGAGAUUGACUAUUGACGAUUGUGUAUUUAUUAAACCUUGGCACCGGUGAAGAGAUGAGUCCCUUGAACU